CCUACGGGUGGCAGCAGUGAGGAAUCUUGGUCAAUGGCCGUAAGGCUGAACCAGCCAAGUAGCGUGAGUGAAGACUGCCCUAUGGUUUUUAAACCUCUUUUAUGCUGGGAUAAAGUUGUCCACGUGUGUAUGUUUGCAUGUACCGCAUGAAUAAGGACCGGCUAAUUCCGUGCCAGCAGCCGCGGUAAUACGGUAGGUCCGGUCGUUAUCCGGAUUUAUUUGGUUUAACGGGAGCGUAGGCCGGUCUUUAAGCGUGCCGUGAAAUUUUGUGGCUCAACCAUGAGAGUGCGGCGCGAACUGGAGAACUUGAGUGCGCGGAAGGAAGGCGGAAUUCGUGGUGUAGCGGUGAAAUGCUUAGAUAUAACGAAGAACACCGAUGGCGAAGGCAGCCUGCCGCAGCGCUACUGACGCUGAAGCUCGAAAGCGCGGGUAGCGAACAGGAUUAGAUACCCGUGUAGUC
rnacentral:rRNA from 1 species